rnacentral:tRNA from 1 species
GACUCUGUAGCUCAGUUGGUAGAGCAGCUGACUCUUAAUCAGCGGGUCCAGGGUUCGAGUCCCUGCAGGGUCACCA